rnacentral:rRNA from 1 species
GAGUACGGUCGCAAGACUAAAACUCAAAGGAAUUGACGGGGCCCGCACAAGCAGCGGAGCGUGUUGCUUAAUUCGAUGCUACGCGAAGAACCUUACCUAGGUUAAAUCAUAGUGAAAAGCCACAGAGAUGUGGUGUCCUUCGGGGCGCUAUGAAGGUGGUGCAUGGCUGUCGUCAGCUCGUGUCGUGAGAUGUUGGGUUAAGUCCCGCAACGAGCGCAACCCUUGUUCUAUGUUGCCAGCACGUAAUGGUGGGGACUCGUAGAAGACUGCCGGGGUCAACUCGGAGGAAGGUGGGGACGACGUCAAGUCAUCAUGCCCCUUAUGUCUAGGGCUGCAAACACGCUACAAUGGUCGGUACAGAGGGCUGCGAAACCGCGAGGUUUAGCGAAUCCCAUAAAGCCGAUCUCAGUUCGGAUUGAAGGCUGCAACUCGCCUUCAUGAAGCUGGAGUUGCUAGUAAUCCCGGAUCAGCACGCCGGGGUGAAUACGUUCCCGGGCCUUGUACACACCGCCCGUCACACCACGAAAGUCGGCAACACCCGAAGCCGGUGGCCUAACCGUAAGGAAGGAGCCGUCGAAGGUGGGGUCGGUGAUUGGGGUG